rnacentral:rRNA from 1 species
AUGGAGAGGAAUGCAGUUGCAAAACAUAGGAUAGAAAACUGCAGCACCUGCAUGCACAGUUGGCGUCCGGGAGAGAGGAAAAGUGACCAUAGGAAAUCUGCCCAUGUGGGUCCCGGCCAGUUUAUUUUAAACGUUGAAAAGGAUAGGCACUACCUUCAAUUCCUGUGCGUGCAGGACCAAAUCGUACAUGGAUCAACCCAUGGUGUGGGCCCAGUUGCAUGGUUUGCGGCAGCUUUUCUCUUCCAUCCCUCGGGCCUACGAGAAAACAAGCGCUCUGGGCAGAUUUUUCUUUUCCCGUGA